rnacentral:pre_miRNA from 1 species
CUUAUACUCCCUCCGUCCCACAAUUCUUGUCUUAGAUUUGUCUAGAUACGGAUGUAUCUAAUACUAAAAUGUAACUAGAUACAUCCGUAUUUAGAAAAAUCUAAGACAAGAAUUUUGGGACGGAUGGAGUAUUUA